rfam:Ascaris suum AG00120, whole genome shotgun sequence.
CAGACGUGAAACUGGAUGUCUCUCGCAGUCAUACGGUAUAUAGAGUUCUAUGACUAGAGACACAUUCAGCUUGGCGGCUGG